ACGCUCGACACCUACGGGAGGGCAGCAGUUGGGAAUAUUGGACAAUGGAGGAAACUCUGAUCCAGUGACGCCGCGUGAAGGAAGAAGGUCUUCGGAUUGUAAACUUAUUUUGUCAGGGAAGAAAAAAUGACUGUACCUGAAGAAAAAGCACCGGCUAACUACGUGCUAGCAGCCGCGGUAAUCUGAGCGGGCUGGCAAGGC
rnacentral:rRNA from 1 species